CUGUUAGUUAAUUCAUUACCAAUUGGUCAUUGUAGUUUUUUUUUUCUUUUUUCUUUUUUUCCUUUUGAAGUCACGCUUUGACAAAAUCAAUGCGGUUUAUGAGAUACUCCAAAAGAGCUCAAAUGACCUUGUAUCCUUGGUUACAACAGCUUCCACCCAAUCAUAUCACCACUAGUGGUAGUAAACUACCUAAGUAGUCACAGCUGCCCUGGGGCAGAGAGACGGAAACGUGGCUGCCAUUUUGUGCCUACGGCCCCCCUCCAACCACCACCACACUACACUCACAAUCACACACCAGCUGAGGACACACACUGGGAGCAAGGUGGGUUAAGUGUCUUGCCCAAGGACGCGAUGGGCAGACUAGGGAUAGGGAGGAAUCGAACCGCCAACUUUACAGUUAUUGGACGACCGCUCUACCUCCUGAGCUACUGCCCCCCUGGAUUACCGUAACAUUAAAUGCCAUAAUUAACUUGACAUUAGUACAACUAAAUGUUUGAAGCAAAUCCUCAACCUUUAAAGAACAAACUUUAAGGAUAAUUAUAUUUUAUCUGAUGAUUAACAAUUGAUUUUUGACAGACUUAUAAGCUUUUAUGUGAUUGGGCUAUAUGGUAUUAUGCUGUGUUAAAUAACGGUUUCCUUUUAAAAAUUCCCUGUUGACAAAACAGUUGACAAAAUAGCUGC